GCCGGGCCCGCCGCCUUGCCCCGCCUCCCUCCCCGCUCCUCCCGCAAGGUGCGGGGCAGCCCCAGGUGAAGCCCCGCCUGGGCUCCGGCCGUGCCCCCCGAGGAGCUUUGGAUCAGGUCCCAGAGGAUGUCAGAGCUCUGCCAGCCCUACUGAAAAACUGUAGUCCAAAUGCUGGCAUGCUAUUUGGCAAGCCACAACCAUAAGGUUAAGUAGAGGUUGCCAGAUGUAUCCUCCAUGGUGUUGCUUCGAAGAAGACCCAAAGGACAUGCAAUCUGGUGGUAGUGAAUUAUUCAAGAAGAUGCCACUAACGUUUUAAAGCCCCGGUCCCUCUGAUAGCUGAGCAAGACCCACAACAGCAGUUUCGCUAAUGAAGACCUGCCUGCUGCUGUCACUCUUCUUCUAAUAUUGCAAGCAUUCUCCUGUUCCACCUCUCCACAACCAUUCUCCGGUUCCAUCUCUCCGUAACAGAGCCUCUACCAACAGCUGAUGAAUGUGCUGGAUUUGCAGUUGCCCCAGGAUGCAGCAGUCAAGGCUGUGCUAUCUGAGCAGCUGUGAAUGAGCCAGUGGCCACUGUCACCGCUUGUCAGUCUGUGGAGGACAGGGCAUGAUAACUGAAGACAGGUGGUCAUUCCUAUGAGGCGGAAGCGCACCAGGAGAGCCCUGAAUGAACGGUGACUUUCUUCUCUGGCUGAUGUACAUUGAUGUGAGAAAGCAAUUGGACACAAAAUUUCUCAUCAAGUCCCCAGUUAGGGUAACAUAUUAGACAGCCAUCUUCUCUUAUGAGCCACUGAAAGAUGAAACAAAACGUGAGGAGUGGACACAGCGAAGAGAGAAGCUAAGACAUGCAACUAAGUCUGCCAGCUGUAUGAAGUAAAAUGAUUGCCCAAAGGAUGUUUUUCUCUUGUCUCUUUUCUUCAAAAAAGUAGUAGUUACUUAUGACAGCAAUACAGACUUCUCCAACAGAGUGAUCUUAGUGGGCAGUGUCCAUUUAAAUUAAAUUUUUCUAAUCAAAUAGUUAACUUCAUCAAACAGUCAGAAUCAAUGCUUUGUAUUAGACACAGAACCAAACUCAUUAAGACUUUAUUAUUCAAGCAUGCACCUCCCUUCAGCUUUUAUCUCCCCUCAAGGGUUUUCAUAGUAAAGCAGACUUUUUUUUUUUUUUA